CCCCUUGUGGUGUAGAUGGCUAUCACAGUGGACUGUAAAUCCAUUGGUCCGCGGUUCGAGUCCGCGCGAGGGGA
rnacentral:tRNA from 1 species